rnacentral:tRNA from 1 species
AGUCUCGUAGCUCAGUUUGGUUAGAGCACUACACUGAUAAUGUAGGGGUCGGCGGUUCAAGUCCGCCCGAGACUA